rfam:Desulfotomaculum putei DSM 12395 genome assembly, contig: EJ51DRAFT_scaffold00004.4
UGCUCAUCAAGAGAGGUGGAGGGACUGGCCCGAUGAAACCCGGCAACCUCACGGAAGGUGCCAAGUCCUGCAGGAAGUUUCUUCCUGACAGAUGAGGU